GAUGAACGCUGGCGGCGUGCCUAAUACAUGCAAGUCGAACGAAACUUCUUUAUCACCGAGUGCUUGCACUCACCGAUAAAGAGUUGAGUGGCGAACGGGUGAGUAACACGUGGGCAACCUGCCCAAAAGAGGGGGAUAACACUUGGAAACAGGUGCUAAUACCGCAUAACCAUAGUUACCGCAUGGUAACUAUGUAAAAGGUGGCUAUACUACCGCCUUUGGAUGGGCCCGCGGCGCAUUAGCUAGUUGGUAGGGUAAAGGCUUACCAAGGCAAUGAUGCGUAGCCGAAUUGAGAGGUUGAUCGGCCACAUUGGGACUGAGACACGGCCCAAACUCCUACGGGAGGCAGCAGUAGGGAAUCUUCCACAAUGGGCGAAAGCCUGAUGGAGCAACGCCGCGUGGGUGAAGAAGGUCUUCGGAUCGUAAAACCCUGUUGUUAGAGAAGAAAGUGCGUGAGAGUAACUGUUCACGUCUCGACGGUAUCUAACCAGAAAGCCACGGCUAACUACGUG
rnacentral:rRNA from 1 species